GAUGAACGCUGGCGGCGUGCCUAAUACAUGCAAGUCGAGCGAACAGACGAGGAGCUUGCUCCUCUGACGUUAGCGGCGGACGGGUGAGUAACACGUGGAUAACCUACCUAUAAGACUGGGAUAACUUCGGGAAACCGGAGCUAAUACCGGAUAAUAUAUUGAACCGCAUGGUUCAAUAGUGAAAGACGGUUUUGCUGUCACUUAUAGAUGGAUCCGCGCCGCAUUAGCUAGUUGGUAAGGUAACGGCUUACCAAGGCAACGAUGCGUAGCCGACCUGAGAGGGUGGACGGCCACACGGGAACUGAGACACGGUCCAGACUCCUACGGGGGGAAGCGGUAGGGAAUCUUCCGCAAUGGGCGAGAGCGUGACGGAGCAACGCCGCGUGAGUGAUGAAGGUCUUCGGAUCGUAAAGCUAUGUUAUUAGGGAAGAACAAAUGUGUAAGUAACUAUGCACGUCUUGACGGUACCUAAUCAGAAAGCCACGGCUAACUACGUG
rnacentral:rRNA from 1 species